UGAGCAUCCGUGGACACUAAAAAGCCCGCGACCGGAAGUGGGGUGUGCCCGAGACUCCUGGGAAAUGUAGUUCAGCCUCCCAACGGCCCCGGCCCAGCCAAAUGGCUCGGCCUCCUCGGGCACCAGAACCAAGGGGCGGGGGCGCGUGACCGUCCCGUUUGGAAGCCAUGGGGAGUGGAGGCUCAUCUGCCCACGAUCACCGCAGGCAGGCCCCAGACGGUUGCGGAACCGACGAGCCCAGCCUGUCUCCGUGGUAACCGGCUGGCCGCAGAGGACUGUGGGAAGUGUAGUUGGGCAGGACCGGCCGGUGCUCGAGGUCAGAGGGGUUGCCGUUAUACCACCGGCCCCUUCGGGCAGAACGAUUUUGCGGCGUCCGGGCGACGUCGUCCAGCCGUCACUUUGGCCUCUGAUCACCCAGGCAGAACAUUUCUGAAAUUAAAGAAGCUCAUGAAGAGUUUAUCAGAAACAUAACUCUCCCACGGCACAAGUUAAGGCUCCUUGGGGACUUCUCCAGUCAAGAAUGACCCCAGUAAUGGUGGGGGCUGUGUCCUUGGCCCCCCCCCCCCCCCCCCCGCCUGAUCCAGUCCCAUAGACCGGAGUCUGGGGAACCUCCCAGAGGGGAGGUUGAGCAGCUGGCCUGCCCCAGAGAAGAGUUUCGAGCAGGAGAGUGAAGAGAGGAGCCAGGAAGGUGACCAGAGUGACCAGAACUGCCAGCCAGACAGAUGUAAAGCUCUUUGAGGAAGAACCACCCUGUGUCCCUUGGACUCACAGCACCAAGGGACACCGAGCACCGAGGGACUCGGGAUGACGUGGGGAUCGGUGACUGUAUACAGCUAUGGACGCAGACAGAUGGAUUUGUGGCUCAGGGUCAUCACGCAUGGAGACACGCUUACCCCAGCCUGAAGACAUGACCUGCCUUCUCGGGGAUAGUUGUCGGCCAUUCUCUUCCGAGUCACACAGGAAGAAGGUGAUCUCAUCUUUAUUGCCACUCUUCCCCGACCCCGACCUGAAAGCAGGAUUAGCCCUGAUGUCCAUAAGGUGGCAGAGGCCCUUGGCUCUGUCUGGGAGGCAUUGCUGGCUGUCAUGUGUUGUGCUAACCUUGGGAGUGACCUUGAUUGGGGAGGCAGGGAACAAGCAAGAAAUUAGUAUGUUGGAGAGCUGGCCAGUUUCCCGGUUAAGGAGGGCUGGCUCAGGGUCCACCCCCAAGAUGAACUUGGAGCUCUUUGAGAGCAAGACCUAUGUCUGAAGCAUCUCUGUAUUCAUAGUGCCUCAAUUAACACCUGGCACGUAGCAGGUGUUCAUCCAACACUGGGCGCUCCUGUAGUUGCCAGCAACCAGAGUUACCAGCAAGGAGGUAACAGGAAAACAGAUGUUAACGACUGUACUGAAAGGCCCCACCUGUGCUGACCACCACAAAGGCAUCAUCCUUUGCUAUAGAGCAGAGUUCUGGGUCCCAAGCACAAAAUCCAGGAACAUCUCUUGUCUUUUGUUAACUGCAAAAUCUCUAUCUCCCCUACAAAAAAAAAAAAAACACAGGGACAGACUCUGUGUAUAUAUCCAUGGAUUUAUAUAGCCAUGGCGUGCUCUUCUAAAUGUCUUUAAAAUCUAUUAAGUUAGAAAUGUUGGAGGUGGUGAUGAUAAGAGCUAGUCCCUAGAUGUGGCAUUGCCCAUCAGAACUGCGUUUCCUAGAAAGCCAAGGCUGCUUCUGAACAGCUGAACCUUGAACCCAGUAAAGCCUUGAACCCGGUGAAAGGAUGAGUAGAUCGUGGAGCGUUAAGGAGAAAAAGGGAGGGUCCUUGCCAGCCGCCUCUUUGCCUGCUUACCAGAGGCUCGCAAGCUCACAUGGCGGUCUCUGGGCAGGAGGACAGCUGGUCACUGGGUUUCUGUGCUCCUGUCCUGGGAGUUUAGAGCUGGAACGUCACUUACAGUGGAUCUUCAGAUACCCUCUCAGAUCACUCCUCGAAGGGCUUAUCCCAGGAACAAAUCAAAUAGGAAGUGAUAGAAACAGGCAGAGGAGUUUGAAAUGGCUAAACCAGGGAAGGCUGUUGGGGGAGAGGGGAUUGGAGGGACAGGGACUGUAAGCUCAGCGAGGUUAGAGACUCUUUAACUCCUGGGGGGCUGGGUGAAGGCUGUUCCAAAGGCCUCUAGGAAAUCGUUCAAGAAACUAGAAGGAAAGCUGUCAAGUGCUUCAUGGGGUGCAAAGUCACCCCCCCAGCCCCACUCACCACCGUGGGGGGCCCCAGUGGAGCUCCCCAUCAGAACCGCCACGCCACGCCAGCUCUUUCAAUGGGCGCCGUCCAGUGGGCUCUCCCCUGGGGCUUGGCCCCACCUGAGCGUGUGAUAGGCUCUGAUGACAACAGUCACUCACAUGCAUUUAGUGCCUCACACACAGGGUCUCAUUUAAUCCUCCCAACAACGCUUGAAAUGGAAUGUUUCUAUCCUCACGUUAAAAAUGAAGAAACUAAGACCUGGAGAGGUGCAAUAACUUUCCCAAGGUCAUGCAACUAAGAAGUAGAGGAGCGAGGCUUAGAAUCCAGUCUUGCACGAAUGUUCUCAUUUUCGCGUUGUGGGAUUUUUCAUUCCCUUUGCUGGAAUCACCAGUCUGUUUUCUGUCCCUGUUACGUGGUCCUGCUUCUCCCGUCUCUUCUGUGGCCUGCCAAAGCCACAAAAUGGUUUCUAAGUUCCAAGUCCAGUGGGUACCAGAUGCUGCCAGGCCCUAUUAAAGCCAUGUUCAUGAGAGAGCCCGGCUUCCUACUAGCAGUCCCUGGAAUCUCUCCUGUGGGAAUUCGGGGGAUAUUCCGAGUCAGGGCAGACUUAAGAAACUGAUUAUGCUGUUCAUUCUGUAAGUCAAGUAACAGGCCCUCAGAGUGAGUGACCUGAACAGCUGGAGCCAGCUGGGCAGGUUCAGCUGCAGCCACAGGUCAAGGGCCUUGGUUCAUCUGCCAGCCGGAUUCCUCUCUUCUCCACUUGGCAUCCACUGAAAAGGGACUGAAAUGUGCAAAAUGGCCUUUUCCCUCCUGUGUCCACCUGGCGUCUCUCUAGUAGACUGGCCUAAUUUCCUCAUCUUGUUGCCCUGGGCUCCAGGAGCCACCUCCCACACCCUCUGUCCUGCCCCACUCCCAUACCCAUCUCCUUCAGUCCAGCUGGCUGUGUUGUAUCACAUGACUCUGCCUCUGUCCUCCUCACACCACACACACACACACACACACUCACACACUCAGGCAGGUCAAUGAGCCAGGAUCUGUGUACACUGGUCAACAACUUGUGAAGUCCCCUGACUCAGGGAAUGUUUGGAAAGCCAGUCAGGCCAGGCAGAUUCCUCUUUUAGGAAAUUUGAACCUCCAAAUCAGGCUGCAUGGGCAGUGUGUGACAGGAGGUCAUGAGGGCAAGUAGGGCCAGGUGCUGGCCGGAAGUACACUGAGAUGGAAGCUUGGAGAUUGAAGAAAGGCAAAACAAUACUUAUCAUUGGGGGAUUAAUGAGCCUCUUUGGGAAGAAGAUAAAGGAUGUCGAGAUUAGAGGCAGAACUCCAGGAAAGGCAGAGAGAGGAGCCAGUCCUAGAGCCUCCCCAAGGCUCGCCAGGCCUGCCUCACCCAUGUGAGGCAGCAGGCUCCUUACUUAGUCCCUCUGCUGUCUGUUGGCUCAGAAUUGGGCAUGUGACAGUUCUGCCAACAUAACUUAUGGGGAAAUGGCUGGGGGACCUUCUGGGAAGAUUUUGUUUUCUGAUAAAAGGAGAAUGAAGAGGCCCAUCUCUUCCUCCUGCUUUGAACAGGGAUGUUUGAGAUGUGAUAUUUGGAGCUGUGGCAGCCAUUUUGAGACCAGGUGGCAACGAAACUAAGGGAGAAAGCCAACAUAGCAAGGUUGGCCGAGUAGACAGACAAAGCCUAGGUCCUCGAUGAUACCGUUGAGCCACCAUACCUAUCCGGGAACCGCCUACUUCCAGUCUUACUGAUCUUUAAAUUGAACCGUCUUUAUUUUCUAAGCACAUUUCUGCUAUUUUCAGCCUAAAAGGCAUUCUUAGCCAGUCAAUACAACACUCCUCCGAACUUCCCAGUCAUCAACUCCUUAGAGCCCCCACGGCUCUUGGUACAGCUCCAAAUGGAAAAUCAGCCCAAUUUAGACACUGGAAACCUUAAUUGUAUGGUAGGAAAUACAGGUCAAGAUUGGUCAUAGCCCACACAGGCAAGCAGCUUGUACACUUAGUUCCGAUUCCUGGAGCCUACCGGGCACUGAUGAGGAAAGAAAGAUUCAGGACAGUUCCAGAUGCAUGAGCCUGGGUCUUCUAAAUUGGGGCUCCAUGAGGAACUUUAGAACAAAUCAGCGUGGAAUCGGUGGGGGGGGUGGGGGUGGGGUGGGGAGGUGAGUGUUAGUCCCUGGAGGCAGAGCCUGAGCAUGGACCAGAAGGCCAUGGCAGAAGGAGAAGCAAGUUGGAAUUGGCAAAUGGUGAGUUAGGUUGGGUGAAUUCUGGAGGAGGCCGGUGUCACACAGCAGGGUUUUAUGAGCCCCAUAUACUAGGUGAAGGAAAUGUAUGGCAGCUAGAGCUUAACUGAUGGAAAACUAGGCUUUGUAGUUAACUCUCCAGCCAGCCUAAGUGACAUUUCAUAUCCUUUGGGGAACACGGUGCCCUGACUUGAGGCCACUUCCCGCUUUCUCCAUGCCUUGUCCCUUUGCCACCUGGCCCUUCUUUCUUUAGCUUUCCUUCCCAUCUUCUCUGAGCAAAGCCAGGAGACAGAAACGCACAGGACCUGAAUUGCUUCUUCCUCAAUUGGGGAAUGGAUAUAGUGGCAAGCAAGGAUGUCUCCUAGAAGACUUAGAAUCCCAGGCGAGGGAUAAGGAGUUUGGUUGGGAGGUGAAAACGCAGUCGGUGGAUAAGGACUAGAUGAAGCUUUCUUCUGAUCCAAUUUUCAUCACAUAACGUGGUUUUUGUGUUGCUUCAACACAAGAAAAUGUGCCUGACCCUUGCUUCAUGAAAAGAAGAAUUGAACUUAGGAACUCUAGCCCUUCCUCUUUAAAUGUCUAGUUUUAAAUAUAAAGUGAAACCGGUAUCCUCCUCAUGUAGCUGUCAGAUGCAUUCAGAACUGGAGAAAAAUUGCCCUGCCCUUUCCCAACUCAAAAUAGUCUUCGGCAGUAAAGAGAGGUGGCCCAUAGAAGUUCCUCAAGCUAAUGGGGGCCGAACACCAAUGUGUUGCAAUUAGGGUAGAAUUUGCAACCUCCAGAUCCUGCCAGUAAGCCUCGCCCCCUCAACACAGUCCUUUCACACCCUCCACAAUUUAUGGAGUCCUGCCCUUGAAGGUUCAGACUAGGCUGACUCGGUUUGCCUGUUGUAUUACUUCAUUCAUUCAGCAAAGUUGGACUGAAUACCUACCAGGAAUAGAAGUUAAGCUUAUAAAAGCAAGUUUGUAAGCUUAUCUUCCUAAGUCAUUAUAUAUAUAUAUAUAAUAUAUAUAUAUAUAUAUAAUUUAUA
ensembl:lncRNA